rnacentral:lncRNA from 10 species
GGUCAGGAGUUCAAGACCAGCCUGGCCAACAAGGUGAAACUUUGUCUCCAAUAAAAAUACAAAACUUAACAGGGCGUGGUGGUGCGCACCUGUAAUCCCAGCUACUUGGGAGGCUGAGGCGGAAGAAUUACUUAACCCUGGGAGGUGGAGGUUGCAGUGAGCCGAAAUCAUGCCGCUGCACUCCAGCCUGGGCAACAGAAUGAGACUGUCCAAAAAUUAACAAAUAAAUAUAUAAUAGAAGAAAUACAUUUAUUUUCAGUUUUAAGAUCUCUCCUAUCUAACUGUUAAUGUGAUUAGGGGCUGGAUUUUUAAAAUGUUUUUUACUGAGCUUUAUUUUUUAUUGUGAAGCAUUUCAGACAGAUAGUGGAGUAUCGUAU